rnacentral:rRNA from 1 species
CCUACGGGUGGCAGCAGUGAGGAAUAUUGGUCAAUGGGCGCUAGCCUGAACCAGCCACGUAGCGUGAAGGAUGACUGCCCUCUGGUUUGUAAACUUCUUUUAUAUGGGCGUAAAGUGCAGUGUUUAUACUGCUUUGCAUGUACCUUAUGAAUGAGGAUCGGCUAACUACGUGCCAGCAGCCGCGGUAAUACGGAGGAUCCGAGCGUUAUCCGGAUUUAUUGGGUUUAACGGGAACGUAGGCGGGUUGUUAAGUCAGUUGUGAAAGUUUGCGGCUCAACCGUAAAAUUGCAGUUGAUACUGGCAUCCUUGAGUACAGUAGAGGCAGGCGGAAUUCGUGGUGUAGCGGUGAAAUGCGUAGAUAUCACGAAGAACUCCGAUUGCGAAGGCAGCCUGCUGGACUGUAACUGACGCUGAUGCUCGAAAGUGUGGGUAUCAAACAGGAUUAGAUACCCCAGUAGUC